rnacentral:rRNA from 1 species
UACGAAGGGGGCUAGCGUUGUUCGGAAUUACUGGGCGUAAAGCGCACGUAGGCGGAUAUUUAAGUCAGGGGUGAAAUCCCGGGGCUCAACCCCGGAACUGCCUUUGAUACUGGGUAUCUUGAGUGUGGUAGAGGUGAGUGGAAUUGCGAGUGUAGAGGUGAAAUUCGUAGAUAUUAGGAAGAACACCAGUGGCGAAGGCGGCUCACUGGUCCGGUACUGACGCUGAGGUGCGAAAGCGUGGGGAGCAAACAGG